GAUGAACGCUGGCGGCGUGCUUAACACAUGCAAGUCGAACGGAAAGGCCCCUGCUUGCUGGGGUACUCGAGUGGCGAACGGGUGAGUAACACGUGGGUGAUCUGCCCUGCACUUCGGGAUAAGCCUGGGAAACUGGGUCUAAUACCGGAUAGGACGAUGGUUUGGAUGCCAUUGUGGAAAGUUUUUGCGGUGUGGGAUGAGCUCGCGGCCUAUCAGCUUGUUGGUGGGGUAAUGGCCUACCAAGGCGUUGACGGGUAGCCGGCCUGAGAGGGUGUACGGCCACAUUGGGACUGAGAUACGGCCCAGACUCCUACGGGAGGCAGCAGUGGGGAAUAUUGCACAAUGGGCGCAAGCCUGAUGCAGCGACGCCGCGUGGGGGAUGACGGCCUUCGGGUUGUAAACUCCUUUCGCUAGGGACGAAGCGCAAGUGACGGUACCUGGAGAAGAAGCACCGGCUAACUACGUG
rnacentral:rRNA from 1 species